rnacentral:rRNA from 1 species
AUUGAACGCUGGCGGCAGGCCUAACACAUGCGAGUCGAGCGGAUGAAGGGAGCUUGCUCCUGGAUUCAGCGGCGGACGGGUGAGUAAUGCCUAGGAAUCUGCCUGGUAGUGGGGGAUAACGUCCGGAAACGGGCGCUAAUACCGCAUACGUCCUGAGGGAGAAGGUGGGGGAUCUUCGGACCUCACGCUAUCAGAUGAGCCUAGGUCGGAUUAGCUAGUUGGUGGGGUAAAGGCCUACCAAGGCGACGAUCCGUAACUGGUCUGAGAGGAUGAUCAGUCACACUGGAACUGAGACACGGUCCAGACUCCUACGGGAGGCAGCAGUGGGGAAUAUUGGACAAUGGGCGAAAGCCUGAUCCAGCCAGGCCGCGUGUGUGAAGAAGGUCUUCGGAUUGUAAAGCACUUUAAGUUGGGAGGAAGGGCAGUAAGUUAAUACCUUGCUGUUUUGACGUUACCAACAGAAUAAGCACCGGCUAACUUCGUG